GGAGAGGUGGCAGAGUGGUAAUGCAACAGCCUGCUAAGCUGUCAACGAGCAAUCGUUGCCAGGGUUCGAAUCCCUGUCUCUCCGC
rnacentral:tRNA from 1 species